AUUGAACGCUGGCGGCAGGCCUAACACAUGCAAGUCGAACGAGUGGCGGACGGGUGAGUAAUGUCUGGGAAACUGCCUGAUGGAGGGGGAUAACUACUGGAAACGGUAGCUAAUACCGCAUACCAUCAGAUGUGCCCAGAUGGGAUUAGCUGGUUGGUGGGGUAACGGCUCACCAAGGCGACGAUCCCUAGCUGGUCUGAGAGGAUGACCAGCAAAACGGGAACUGAGACACGGUCCAGCUUCCUACGGAGGGCAGCAGUGGGGAACAUGGCACAAGGGGCGCAGGCCUGAGGAGGCAAGGCCGCGUGGAUGAAGAAGGCUUUCGGGUUGUAAAGUAUUUUCAGCGGGGAGGCGGUACCCGAAGAAGAAGCACCGGCUAACUCCGUGCCAGCAGCCGCGGUAAUUC
rnacentral:rRNA from 1 species